rnacentral:rRNA from 1 species
UUGUGAGGCAUCUCCGGGUAGGGCGCCGGCCUAAGUUCCUUGGAACAGGACGUCAUAGAGGGUGAGAAUCCCGUGCUUGGCUGGCUGUCCCCGUCCAUGUGAGGUGUCUUCGACGAGUCGAGUUGUUUGGGAAUGCAGCUCAAAAUGGGUGGUAAAUUUCAUCUAAAGCUAAAUAUUGGUGGGAGACCGAUAGCGCACAAGUAGAGUGAUCGAAAGAUGAAAAGCACUUUGAAAAUAGAGUUAAAAAGUACGUGAAAUUGUUGAAAGGGAAGCGCUUGAGACCAGACUUCGGUGGGGAGUGAUCAGCUGUCCUUCUGGGCGGUGCACUUGCUCCCCUCCGGGCCAGCAUCGGUUGGGACGGCGGGAUAAAGGUCCCGGGAAUGUGGCUCCUCUCGGGGAGUGUUAUAGCCCGGGUGAAUGCCGCCAGCCCCGACCGAGGACCGCGCCUUCGGGCUAGGAUGCUUGGCAUAAUGGUCUUCAGCGAC